CCCUAGUAACUGCGAGUGAAGCGGGAAAAGCUCAAAUUUAAAAUCUGGCGGUCUUUGGCCGUCCGAGUUGUAGUCUGGAGAAGUGCUUUCCGCGCUGGACCGUGUAUAAGUCUCUUGGAACAGAGCGUCAUAGAGGGUGAGAAUCCCGUCUUUGACACGGACUACCAGUGCUUUGUGAUGCGCUCUCAAAGAGUCGAGUUGUUUGGGAAUGCAGCUCAAAAUGGGUGGUGAAUUCCAUCUAAAGCUAAAUAUUGGCGAGAGACCGAUAGCGAACAAGUACCGUGAGGGAAAGAUGAAAAGCACUUUGGAAAGAGAGUUAAACAGUACGUGAAAUUGCUGAAAGGGAAACGCUUGAAGUCAGUCGCGUUGUCUGGGACUCAGCCUUGCUUUUGCUUGGUGCACUUUCCGGAUGACGGGCCAGCAUCGAUUUUGACCGUCGGAAAAGGGCUAGGGUAAUGUGGCACCUCCGGGUGUGUUAUAGACUUUAGUCGCAUACGGCGGUCGGGAUCGAGGAACGCAGCGCGCCGUAAGGCAGGGGUUCGCCCACUUUCGUGCUUAGGAUGCUGGCGUAAUGGCUUUAAACGACCCGUCUUGAAACACGGACCAAGGAGUCUAACAUACCUGCGAGUGUUUGGGUGGAAAACCCGAGCGCGUAAUGAAAGUGAAAGUUGAGACCUCUGUCGUGGAGGGCAUCGACGCCCGGACCUGACGUUCUCUGACGGAUCCGCGGUAGAGCAUGUAUGUUGGGACCCGAAAGAUGGUGAACUAUGCCUGAAUAGGGUGAAGCCAGAGGAAACUCUGGUGGAGGCUCGUAGCGAUUCUGACGUGCAAAUCGAUCGUCAAAUUUGGGUAUAGGGGCGAAAGACUAAUCG
rnacentral:rRNA from 1 species